GUGCGUGCGUGCGCGCGCGCUCGCGUCCGUGCGUUGAAGAGCACAUGGACGAAAGAAGACGAGAUUUAGCAGCGCUGCUAAUUAACGCAGCCCAUCGCCUGGGGAAAAUAGGCAGCACAGGACACCAGAAAUGCGGACACAGUGUUGUGUUACUCUUGUGAGAGUAAAAACGAAAAUGAUGGCAGGAAAGUGAUGCCUGUAGUAUCCUUUUCCAGUGAAGGUGUUGCACGUGUCAGGGUGCAGAAAUGCACUACAGGAGACAAACUAAGAGAGAAAUCUCACUACUCGUGAAUUGCUUGCUAUGAACAUCCCUGCUUUCACUACGUUUUGAGUGGGACAUCGUACAACGCAGCGCCCACCGGAAUUUUUCCAUCCUUACUAAACCACAUGAAAACCUUUCCCUAAAGGUACUUAGGAACCUAUUGUGCUCCUCACGUUUGAUGCAUGGAGCAAAGGAAGUUACUCACGUUGCACCAGUGUAAGCCAGUGUUAUUGGGUCAGAUUCAUCUAUUCAUCUUAUCUCAUCAAAGGGCAGCUUAUAUUUCAAAUGCAGAAGUGCAAUCGAAUCCUCGCCUUGGGUUCUCCUGAUGAAGCCGUUUCGACAGGGCGAGGAUACCGAUAAGAGACGCGGCUUCGGUAAGGUGAACGACUGAAGCGAGACCUUUAGAUUAAUCUGCUUACACGUACCUUGAGCUCGUCAAAGCGCAGAGUGAAAUGGAGGAUCUCGGCGAACUGGCGCGCAAGAGCCUGCUCCUGCUCCAAGUGCUGUGUGGGGCUGCAGUGUGCGCUCGUUAGGAAUCCCAGCAGGCCGUGCAGGGUUCCUUCUACACAACCAAGACAGAGGUAAUAUUACAUUACAAUUGACCUGAUGGAUGGGGGACAGAUGAAGAUGGAUGAACGUGCUGGAUCAAUAUCGGAAAGAGAAUUAGUGAAAGGCAAACCCAGUGUGUUGAGCAAAUGUAAAAAGAACAGGAUGAAGCCUUGUGGCAAACUGUUAUUCAAAAAUGAAGGGUGUGUUCCAGAGACCCGCUUGGGGCAAAAUGUGUUCAUAAUUUCUAUUUUAAUUUCGGUUCACAUAGAGAACGUUCAGACAGCAUGCAGUCUUCACCCUGCAAGAACUCUAGCGGAUCACAGUGCAGUGAGCUGCGUAGACUUAUUUAUAUCCACAUGCAUUUUUAAAUGGCUCGUCAAAUAUCUGGCAAAGUCGGCUACAGCUGGUUGGUGAUUGUCAGAUAUGGGGACGUGUCAGAGUUAAUUAGGACAUGACCUACUAUUCCACGUGUGUUGCUCGUAUACUGACAUACAUAUGAGAGAGAUAAGAGCUUACUGUUUUUUAUGUGUCUCUAAUUAACGAAUAUCAGAAAUUAACCUCGGUAUUAAACACAAUUAAAUUGCAUACGUUAAAGAGUGAACAUGGCAAUAUUUCACUAGAUAAGGCUUCAGAGGUUUGCGUCACCAAGAAGAUUAUCUUAAUUCAAUUACACUGCAUUGUUGCCUGGCUCGAAGCGAACUGCUGCCAUGCACCGAGUACGAACGUCGUAAUCCUAAUAGCAUCAACCUCACCACAGCGGAACAUGGCUGCCAACAGGACAUUGUUACCUGUUACGUUACAGCCGGCUUUAUUUACUGUAGCAACAUCCAUUUGCAAAAGUGAAUCCAUGUCAAUCCAAUAAACAAAGAGAAGGAAUCUGAGGACAUGGAGCAUAUAGAAAAGAUCUAAGAGUGAUGGUAAGAGCUAUAGAUAGAGCUGAUAAAGGUUAUAUAACUCCUUUAUCUGGGUCCUGAUGCAAACUUUGUUGAGUCAAACGCAGAUGAGUCACUAAACACUGACCAUCAUCGGACACGAGUGACCGUCACUGAGCUCAGCAACAAAUAUAACAGUGUGACACAUUGAGCUGAAGUCUAGGUUUGUGUGAGAUUACUAUAUCCCUGCUCAUGAUGUGUUCAUCUCAUUUGCUUUACUGCUGGUAAGGUUUUUUUUUUACUAAUCUUCUUUAAAAAUAAUAAAACGCUAGCAAAUGUACAAUGAAAACAUGCUGCUAUUUUACACUAUUGAGCUCAAAACAUUCAUGUCAAGGUACUGUAGAACUGAGAAAGUUUUAGCCAGGAGUGUGAGAUGUGGGAAAGGGGCGAAGCUUCCUGGCAGCACUGGUUAAUAUUAGAAACAAUAAUCUCUUGUUCUUUUGCUGUAUUUUGGGGUGUGAACUCUUACUAGUGUACUUUAGUUGUUACACUACUGAACUUGAAAUACAUCCAGCUUGGCAGGUCUUGUAAUGUAUUAUAAUAAACAUCACUGGUGGUGUAGGAAAGAGUGUGUGUGUGUGUGUGUGUAACGUGAAGUCUCAUACCCAGCUUUUGAGAGAACUCGUAAAACUUCUUUAGUUUGCCCACCAGCGGCACCACAGCAUUCCAGGCUUUCUCUUGCACACUUUCAUUAGUUGGCUGCUGGAUGGCCUGGAAACACAACACACUCCAUCAACAUGUGCCUGCUAAACUGGAGAACUUUCCCAUGAACUCAUCCUGACAGCACUUCCCAAGCACAGCUUACUCCUCUUAUCUUUCUCCCAGCACUCUUCCUCCAGGACUGUAAUGUGACUCAGGUGUGAUGAAGCAGCUAAAACAUAAACACUUCAGUGAUACAUUGUGCUAGGAACGCUGUAUCUGCUUCGGCUUUCCUCACUGACACGGCGCUGGGCUCGUGUCGAUUCUUAAAGAACAGUUCAUUGUUUCCUCAAGUUUAAGAGCCAAACCAUUAAAUAAUCUAGUGUGAGUUUAUGAGCCGUACAAAACUAGUAACUAAGAAGACUUUUUACAAGUUCUACCUCUGACUGAGAUUCUUUUUAAUCAUCUAAUCAGCGUCCGAGAAUUCACAGCGCACACAAUAGACUCACGAUACACUUUUAUAGCUUUUAGCUGGUUCUGCUUCCUUUAGCAUUAGAAAUAACGGGAGUUGCAGAUUUAGUGGAUCACAGUCAGAAUCAACCGGCUUGUGUAUCUUUUGUAGAAAGAAUUAAAGUCUUUUAGCACAUCCACGUACAACAAUUAGGGGAUUUGAUCUUUGUUAUAUCUUAAAUAGAUAUUAACGAGACAGUCUUUUCCAUAAAAUCUCUUAUCUCUUGUCAGUUUUUCACUCAUUUCUGGUCAGCAACACUGUUGUACUGUGGUCUAAAUCUCCAGUACACACAAACACAGGGUGACGUAUGAUUUAGGGCCCGUCCAGUGCGCGGAGACUGCAAGUUAAAUCAAAUGAACAGGAAAGACAGCGGUUUAAUGUGAAGGUAACACUGUGAUUUGUUCAAUACUAACAGUGACCGUGUGAGUAAAGUUAAAAAUGAUCCUACAGGUUUCCAUUUUAUUUCUAGACACUGUUGUGAAACAGCUUUACAUUUUAUUAUUUCUAAACAAGACUUGUCAUGGCAAUAAACUAUAUCUCUUAUUUCUAGACCUGCAGCUCUUUUGUGGUGGAAAUGAACAAAACAGUUGGAGAUUAAACAGCAGCUGUGGAACCGACUCCGUUCUUUAUUGUCCUGUCUACACACACAAACACACGUCGUACACUCACCUGUCUAAUGGCUUCUCCAGCUCCACUGUAGGACUGCAGAUCCUCUAAAACACUCAUGGCCUCCAUCAGAACCUUGUUCACCUGUUCCCAUAACUCUCUCUCUGCCUCGGUGGGCCGAGCGUCUGCGGAAACGGCAACACACACAGAAUGUACAGUCGGGUUAUCGUGCAUAUAAAAAUGGUUACAGCAGAUGUUUUGAUAUGAAACAGACUUAUAGAGGAAUGCACUGUUAGCACAUUAGUUCAUUCAUGUUUAAAGACUGCCCUGAUUACACUGGAACACACUUAACAUUAAAACUAUAUUAAAUAACA